GGGAGCUUAGAUGUGGAAGCUCUUUGGAAACCAAGAAACACUCUGAAAAUGAAAAGGGAUCUCAACUUUUCUCUUCCCGCUCCAGCUGCACUAUGUAUCCGUGCUUGGCUCUCAGUUGUUGGAUUCUCAUGUCUCCUUUUUCACAGUGGCUCAGGUGGAAGAGUAAACUGUUCCUGUUUCUCCAUCUUGACAGGAAGCAGAAGUUCUCCUUAGCUGAUUUUUCUUCUUGCCUUAUACUGGGUUCUUUAACACCAGAACAAAAAUAAAUAAAUAAAAGAAUCUUCCAGAAAUUCAUGAAGAGACUUCAGGUCAGGAAAGCCUGAACUUUCUCAUCCAACACCCGUUCAAGUCGGAGGAUGCUGAUUAAUUCAUGAUGGAAAGGUAUCAAUUUCACAGCCCAGACCUCUACAUUCUUGAAAUGCUCUUCUCAUGGGAGACAUUAAAUAAGCUUUGAAUUAACUUAAGCCCUUAAGUAAAAGUGCCAUCAAAUGAUUUCUCAGAAAUUAUAAAGAAACAAAAGGACCAUAAACAAGAUAAGGUGGCAUGAGGAAACAUUACAAGUACCUUUCAGAGCUGACUGGCAAAGAAACUCCUGAGGUGACGG
rnacentral:lncRNA from 1 species